rnacentral:snoRNA from 1 species
GUGAUGACCCAGGCGUGUCGGAUUAGUGACGCAACACGACCUCCUCUGA